rnacentral:misc_RNA from 1 species
GAUGAAGAACGUAGCGAAAUGCGAUAAGUAAUGCGAAUUGCAGAUUUCAGUGAGUCAUCGAAUCUUUGAACGCACAUUGCGCCCGCGAGUAUUCUCGCGGGCAUGCCUGUCCGAGCGUCAUUUCAACCCUCAGGGCCCGCCUGCUUCGGCAGGCGCGGCGCUGGUGUUGGGGAUCGGCCUAACCGCCGUCCCCCAAAUACAGUGGCGGUCUCGCUGCAGCCUCCCCUGCGUAGUAGCAACACUCGCAUGCGGAGCGCGGCGCGGCCACGCCGUAAAACCCCCGACUUUCUAAACGUUGACCUCGGAUCAGGUAGGAAUACGCGCUGAACUUAAGCAUAUCAAUAAGCGGAGGA